GUAUGUUCUCUGAUGCAUAUUGAGGGUUCACUUCUGCCUGAAACAAUUUCCAUAUCUGCUGCAUUCACAAGGUUUCUCUCCUGAGUGUGUUCUCUGAUACAUACUGAGGUGUGAUUUCUGCUUGAAAGACACUGCACAUCAGUUACAUAACAUUUCUCACCUAUGUGGGUUCUCUGAUACAAACUGAAUUGUGUCUUCCAGGUGAAAGACUUUCCACAUAUGUUACAUUCAUAAGGUUUUUCUCCUGUUUGAAUUCUCUUAUGUGUGCUGAGAUCUGAGUUGUAGACAAAGUACUUUGCACAUUUGUUACAUUCAUAAGGUUUCUUACCUGUAUGCAUUCUCAUAUGAAUGAUGAGUAAUGACUUCUGGGUGAAAAAUUUUUCACGUUGGUUACAGUUAUAAGGUUUC